rnacentral:rRNA from 1 species
GAUGAACGCUAGCGGCAGGCUUAAUACAUGCAAGUCGAGGGACAGCACAGGUAGCAAUACUGGGUGGUAACCGGCAAACGGGUGCGGAACACGUACACAACCUUCCUUUAAGUGGGGGAUAGCCCAGAGAAAUUUGGAUUAAUACCCCGUAAUAUAGUUGAAUAGCAUCAUUUGAUUAUUAUAGCUACGGCGCUUAAUGAUGGGUGUGCGGCUGAUUAGAUAGUUGGCGGGGUAACGGCCCACCAAGUCUACGAUCAGUAGCUGAUGUGAGAGCAUGAUCAGCCACACGGGAACUGAGACACGGGCCCGACUCCUACGGGAGGCAGCAGUAAGGAAUAUUGGUCAAUGGACGAAAGUCUGAACCAGCCAUGCCGCGUGAAGGAUUAAGGUCCUCUGGAUUGUAAACUUCUUUUAUUUGGGACGAAAAAGGGCCUUUCUAGGUCAACUGACGGUACCAGAUGAAUAAGCACCGGCUAACUCCGUGCCAGCAGCCGCCGUAACAC